rnacentral:rRNA from 1 species
UACGGGAGGCAGCAGUGGGGAAUAUUGCACAAUGGGCGCAAGCCUGAUGCAGCCAUGCCGCGUGUAUGAAGAAGGCCUUCGGGUUGUAAAGUACUUUCAGUCGUGAGGAAGGUGUUAAGGUUAAUAACCUUAGCAAUUGACGUUAGCGACAGAAGAAGCACCGGCUAACUCCGUGCCAGCAGCCGCGGUAAUACGGAGGGUGCGAGCGUUAAUCGGAAUUACUGGGCGUAAAGGGCACGCAGGCGGUUAAUUAAGUUGGAUGUGAAAUCCCCGGGCUUAACCUGGGAAUGGCAUUCAAGACUGGUUAGCUAGAGUCUUGUAGAGGGGGUAGAAUUCCAUGUGUAGCGGUGAAAUGCGUAGAGAUGUGGAGGAUACCGGUGGCGAAGGCGGCCCCUGGGACAAAGACUGACGCUCAUGUGCGAAAGCGUGGGGAGCAAACAGGAUUAGAUACC